UGCCCAUCAGCUAGCCCACCCACCAACCCCAAAUACCCCCUAUUUAUAACCCCAAAUACACUACCCCCUAAACAACAAACCAUUUUUCCGCCCAAGUAUGGGAGACAAAAAAGGACCUAGGAGCAAUAGAAAAAGUAUCGUAAGAGAAAGCUGAAAGAGUAAUGAAACAAUCCAGUAAAGCACUAAAAAGCAGAGAUAUUUCCUUGUACCUUUUGCAUCAUGGUUUAGCUAGAACCCCUUAAGCAAAAAGAAUUGUAGUUUAAUACCCCGAAACUAAGCGAGCUACUCCAAGACAGUCUAAUUUAUAGGACCCCCCCGUCUCUGUGGCAAAAGAGUGGGAAGAGCUUUGAGUAGAGGUGACAGACCUAUCGAGCCUAGUUAUAGCUGGUUGCCUGAGAACUGAAUAGAAGUUCAGCCCUUUAAAUUCUUCAUUCCUAUUAACCAAAAACCCUUACUUCGAACAAAAGAAAUUAAAGGAGUUAGUCAAAGGGGGCACAGCCCCUUUGAGACAAGAUACAACUUUUCAAGGAGGGUUAAGAUCAUAACAAAUUAAAGGUCUAACGUCCAAGUGGGCUUAAAAGCAGCCACCUACUCAGAAAGCGUCAAAGCUCGGACGUGUACAAUCCACCUUCUAAUAAAGACAACACUAUCUCUUCCCCCUAAAUCUACCAGGCCGCUCCAUAAAAUAUGGAAACGUUUAUGCUAAUAUGAGUAAUAAGAGAGUCCCCCUCUCUCCUCGCACAAGUGUACCUCGGAGCGAACCAUUCACCGACCAUCAACGACCCCAAAACAAAGAGGGCCCUAGCCAAAAAACAAACAACUAGAAAACCACCUACCCCCCAAUCGUUAACCCCACACUGGUGUGCCCACCGGGAAAGACUAAAAGAAAAAGAAGGAACUCGGCAAACACAGACCUCGCCUGUUUACCAAAAACAUCGCCUCUUGUUCUCUUAAAUAUAAGAGGUCCCGCCUGCCCCGUGACUAUAU
rnacentral:rRNA from 1 species